CGGUGCUGGGCUGUAGGUCUACUGAAUGGUGCUGUGCUGUAGGUCUACUGAAUGGUGAUGGGCUGUAGGUCUCCUGAAUGGUGCUGGGCUGUAGGUCUACUGAAUGGUGCUGGGCUGUAGCUCUACUGAAUGGUGCUGGGCUGUAGGUCUACCUAAUGGUGCUGGGCUGUUGGUCUCCCGAAUGGUGCUGUGCUGUAGGUCUACUGAAUGGUUCUUUAUGUCUACUGAAUGGUGCUGGGCUGUAGGUCUACUGAAUGAAGCUGGGCUGUAGGUCUACUGAAUGGUGCUGGGCUGUAGGUCUACUGAAUGAUGCUGGGCUGUAGGUCUCCUGAUGGUGCUGGGCUGUAGGUCUACUGAAUGGUGCUGGGCUGUAGGUCUACUGAAUGGUGCUGGGCUGUAGGUCUACUGAAUGGUG
ensembl:lncRNA